rnacentral:lncRNA from 1 species
UAUUAAAAAAUCAUUUUUAAAAUCUCCGUACUCAACACUAUAUUUUAAUAAGCCUAAGAAAUAGAUUAACAAAUAUCGUAAAGAUAGAAAAUAAUAUUGUUCAGCGCUUGAACAGUUUUUAUUCUAAUAACAGAAAGUUAAGAACUAUUUGGGUACCUGUGUCUAUAGUUUCUCUAUGGCCUGUGUCGAAUAAUAUUUUCAAUCUAAACAUUUCCAAUAUAGAAGCUCAACCCAAUUUUGUAGAACCAUCUAUAAGACAGUCGUACCUGGUCCACCAAAAAGACGCGCAGAACUAGCGACAUUUAUAUUGUGAAAAUUCAUCCAAUAGUCACAAUUAAUUCAAAUAUGCUUCUUCACGGUAGAAACAUAAGUAACAGGAGCAGUAUAACAAGAGAAGAAAUAGAGUCACAAUUAAUGUCAACACAAAUAGAGUUAUGUAAAGAAUAAUAAUUGAUAUUAAAAAACAUAAACUAUUCGAUACAUUGCCAACGGAGUCUCUUUUCAAAAUAUUUAAAUACUCUUGUAACAGACGAAUUUAAUUACGAUCUGUUUAAUAUUUCUAGUCUGUUUUAGUCCUAGAUCAACUUACUUACGGACUAGAAAUAUUAAACAGAUCGUAAUUAAAUUCGUUUGUUACAAGUGUAUUUAAAUAUUAUGAAAAGAGGCUCCGUUGGCAAUUAUCUAAAAACUAAGAUCACUUCCAGGAAGGAAUACAAUUACAUAUAUAUUUUCACACUAGCAAAAUAUAACCCAGUAAAGAUUCUAGCAACAAGGCCCUUAAAAACUGAAUAAAUUUUAGCCGAUCGAAAAGAUAUAUCAAUGAUCUAGAAGGACGAUGAUUCCUACAAAAAACAUAUACAUAUAUCAUUAAAUUUAAUGGAGUUAGAUGGCCUGAUACUCCUGAUAUUCAAACGACCUAUCCUAUAAAAACAUUAUUGCGGGGAACGAAUGUACUAAAUUCAAAAUAUUUAGCCUAUAAGGCCAAAAUAUAAACAUGUAUUGCUUAGCAAUAAAAAUCCUGAGUAUCUGACAAUAGGUAAAUAACAAUGUAUGUAUCUAAUAGCUACAAUCAUACACACAUUAACUUAAUUGGUUCCCCCGCCAUAAACAAUAAAAAGAAAAUUCAUAAAGUUAAAUAAAAUAUCAGUUAACAAGUCCCAAUAAGAAGUAAUACUCAUACAAUAAUAAAAAAGUAAUAAACAAAUACAUCAGAUCACAAAUGACUUAGCUAUAAGCAACAUAUUAUGAUAUUAAUAUCACCAGAACCGCUCAAGUGAAACUAGCAAAGUAACUCAAAAGUUUGAGACGGAAAACAUUCUUAGAGUGAGAAAAGAUUCUUAAUUCGUAAGGCAAGCCAUUCCAAUAACGCGCAAUUCUGACUGUAAAUGAUCUCUCAAAGCUUACUUUGAAAAUUCUUGGAAUAAAAAGCUGAGGAUAUCUAGAAGACCUCAGAAAUAUAAAUUUAUUACUCACUAAACGAACAACGAAGAAACUGACAAACAUAAGCCGAUAUAUGAUCUCGACGUCUAACAUUAUACACAAACCUUACAAUCAUAUUAACUAUACGUCUUAACUUAGCAAGUGUAGUCACAGAUGACCCUGAACAACCUCAAGGCAAUAAAUAACCUGAGGCAUCAUAAGAGCAUGAGCCAGUUUUAAUUUAAUGUUCAAAGGAAAAUAUACAUUAGUUAAAAAAAUUUACGAAGGAUACCACAGAUUUUACCAGACAUCCAGAGUAACACCCAAACACUUAUGCCGAACAACAUUCUCAAUUAAAACAUUACCAAUAUAAAAGUUCAUAUCAGUUAAAACGUCGUCAGUACAAAAUAGAAUAUCCUUAGUUUUUGUAGGAUUAAUGGCAAGUGAAUUAUUGGAAAUCCACUCUACAACACGAUUAAGGCAACAAUAAUUAUUAUUAACAAACGAUUCAGAAGUAGAUUCACGAAUACCAUUGAACAAAAGAAAAACAUCAUCAGCAUACAAAAAUGUUUCACAGGACACUGAAUUGGUACACAAAUACAGAUCAUUUACAUAUAGAAUAAAUAACAAAGGUCCUCAAAUAGAGCCCAGCGGAACACCUGAAUGCAGAUGACAUAGACUAGAAUGCACACCAUCAACAGAAAUAAGAUCAUGAAUAAAAUUAAUUUGAUCACAGAACUAUAAAAUUUAA